CGGAGGUGGCAAGCGUUACUCGGAAUUAUUGGGUGUAAAGGGCAAGUAGGUGGCUUGGUAAGUGAGAGGUGAAAUACUCCGGCUCAAUCGGAGAACUGCCUUUCAUACUGCCUUGCUUGAGGAUGGUAGGGGGAAAGGGAAUUCCAGGUGUAAGGGUGAAAUCUGUAGAUAUCUGGAAGAACACCAGCGGCGAAGGCGCUUUCCUGGACCAUUCCUGACACUGAAUUGCGAAAGCUAGGGGAGCAAACAGAAUUAGAUACUCUGGUAGUCCUAGCCGUAAACGAUGAGCACUAGGUGUUGGCUCCGUUAGGAGUCAGUGCCGCAGCUAACGCAUUAAGUGCUCCACCUGAGGACUACGGUCGCAAGGCUA
rnacentral:rRNA from 1 species